UAGAGUGUUCAAAGCAGGCCUUUGCUCGAAUACAUUAGCAUGGAAUAAUAGAAUAGGACUUUAGUUCUCCUUUGUUGGUUUGUAGGGACUGAAGUAAUGAUUAAUAGGGAUAGUUGGGGGCAUUAGUAUUUAAUUGUCAGAGGUGAAAUUCUCGGAUUUGUUAAAGACUAACUUAUGCGAAAGCAUUUGCCAAGGAUGUUUUCAUUAAUCAAGAACGAAAGUUAGGGGAUCAAAGACGAUCAGAUACCGUCCUAGUCUUAACCAUAAACUAUGCCGACUAGGGAUCGGAGGCGCGCUAUAUCCGCCUUCGGCGCCUUACGGGAAAC
rnacentral:rRNA from 2 species